rnacentral:tRNA from 1 species
AACGAGUUAGUAUAAUUCAAUACCUUUAAUUUAGACUUAAAAAAAAGAUAGCCUCUACUCGCUAC